rnacentral:rRNA from 1 species
UGCAAGUCGGACGGGAUUGGGACCAGAGCUUGCUCUGGUUCCAUGAGAGUGGCGCACGGGUGCGUAACGCGUGAGCAACCUACCUCUAUCAGGGGGAUAGCCUCUCGAAAGAGAGAUUAACACCGCAUAAUAUAAUUUUCCGGCAUCGUGUAAUUAUUAAAUAUUUAUAGGAUAGAGAUGGGCUCGCGUGACAUUAGCUAGUUGGUAGGGUAACGGCUUACCAAGGCGACGAUGUCUAGGGGCUCUGAGAGGAGAAUCCCCCACACUGGUACUGAGACACGGACCAGACUCCUACGGGAGGCAGCAGUAAGGAAUAUUGGUCAAUGGGCGGAAGCCUGAACCAGCCAUGCCGCGUGCAGGAUGACUGCCCUAUGGGUUGUAAACUGCUUUUGUCCAGGAAUAAACCUAAAUACGUGUAUUUAGCUGAAUGUACUGGAAGAAUAAGGAUCGGCUAACUCCGUGCCAGCAGCCGCGGUAAUACGGAGGAUCCGAGCGUUAUCCGGAUUUAUUGGGUUUAAAGGGUGCGUAGGCGGCCUAUUAAGUCAGGGGUGAAAUACGGUGGCUCAACCAUCGCAGUGCCUUUGAUACUGAUGGGCUUGAAUCCAUUUGAAGUGGGCGGAAUAAGACAAGUAGCGGUGAAAUGCAUAGAUAUGUCUUAGAACUCCGAUUGCGAAGGCAGCUCACUAAGCUGGUAUUGACGCUGAUGCACGAAAGCGUGGGGAUCGAACAGGAUUAGAUACCCUGGUAGUCCACGCCCUAAACGAUGAUAACUCGAUGUUGGCGAUAGACAGCCAGCGUCCCAGCGAAAGCGUUAAGUUAUCCACCUGGGGAGUACGCCCGCAAGGGUGAAACUCAAAGGAAUUGACGGGGGCCCGCACAAGCGGAGGAGCAUGUGGUUUAAUUCGAUGAUACGCGAGGAACCUUACCCGGGCUU